rnacentral:tRNA from 1 species
GGUCGUGAAGUGCUGGCCGAGGCGCGCGUGCGCCUGGGGCGUGCGCCGGCUGCGGUUCUGGCUGCCCUGGACGACCU